GCAAAGGUGGCAUAAUGGUUUGAGCAUUGGACAAUGACUCUAGAGACCAGGGUUCGAUUCCCAGCUCAGCCA